rnacentral:lncRNA from 1 species
GCAGCAGAAGAAUACAUAACAGAUUUUGGGGUCAUCACCCGGGAGGAUUCAAUCACACACACCAGAACCCUCAAUUACCUUCAUCCCCAUCACGCCCUACUUUCUUCUUCCAUUUUUUUUUUUUUACACGACCCAACGACACCCCUUUGGAACCACCUCCAANAGAACCAUCACUCACAAAUGCCAUCACCCUCACUACACCUCAUGACCCAACAGAAUUGAUGACCCAAGAGAAUUGAUCACACACACGACACCACCCUUUUUGGGCUCACCACCUACACCAUGCUUCAACACGGUGACCACCCAACAGAUUCGUCUGGGGACAACACAUUCUCAAUCACGAACCACUUCCCCUACUCAAAACCUUUCCCAAUUCACCACUGACAAUUGACCAUGGCUUCCUAUACCCAUCAUCUUCAUCCAUAACCUUUGGGCAUCAAGUCCUUUUGUCAUCAUCAUCAACCCUUUCCUCUNAAAUUUCAGCUCAUCAACUCAGAAUACCUUUCUUACCUAAUCAAGGCAACCCCAAUUCGUUCCCCAUAAUUCCUCCAUUCACUCUCACAGAAAACGCCUUCUACGAUCCCUUUUGCUGGCCACCACCUCCUCCAUCAUAGAACACAGAAGCAGAGAACCAAUCACGCACANAUUCUCUCCUCCAUCUUCUUCGACACCUGAAAAAACANAGAAAUUCAUUCACUACCUCCAUCACCUUUUCCAUCACCCUCAUACCGAUUCAUCUCAACACUCAAAGCAAAAAAUAGAUAGCAAAGACGAAUCUGAGGCAAGUCACACAAGAAGACUUNUGGUGGCUCUCGAAGGAAGUACCGUCGGCUCUAGGAGGCGCCAACGGUUCUUGGCAGUGCUGGUCGUAGACUCGNUGGUGAUGGCGACGCGGGGGUGGAAGGGAAGGCUCAACUNAGAGCGUCGACCCUAGCCUGGUGUCGGUAGCACCCUUACGGAGCCUUGGGGGUGACCAGCGUUGUCGCCGGCGGUUCUGGUGGUGAACGCUAUCGCGACCUAGGGUGGUGAGUUUCUUCUUGCGCGAAGAGAAGAAGGNGAAAGAGAGUCUGGUGUCAUGGUCGGCGAUGGCUCCGACAAUGGGUGUCAACGCCGUGGGCUGUAGAUGAUGGUGGCCGGUCANGGAAAGGUUGGUUCUGGCUGUGAGUGGCGAAGGUGAAAUCCCUAGCUUCUUUCGCUCAGAGAAGAAGGGGACCCUGGGUCUCAGGCGCUAAUUGCACAGAAUGGGGCAAUCUGAUGGAACCCCUAAUNUUUCAAAUUAGGUUAAGAAGCUUUGGGCUUGGCUGGUGGGCCGCCUUUUCUUUCUGGUACCACUGGCACUCCAAUUCGCACCCCCUACAGACAAAGGAAGAAAAAUGGCUUUGGGCCUGGCUAUUGGGCGCNUCCUCCCUGCCUGCCGCCACCACCGUUUCUCUAUUCGCACCUCCAUUCCCUUUCUGGCAAACAAUAAAAGAGGCCUUGGGCCUGGUCAGCAAAAUAUCCAGUGGCACCCCCCAAAUUGCACUGCUACACGCCUACCUUGGGCCUGAACCAAGAAAUUUCAUGCUGCACCCCUGUCUUACACCCCUGGCAGUCUCAACCUUGCUGUGCACCCCUGGUUUUUAAUUUCUGCACCUCACUCUUAUUGGGCUUGUUGGAUUGUUUUAUUUUUAUUGUCUUUGUUUUUAUUAUUAUUUUGG